UUCUCCCACCUUCUCCCUUUUUCUCUCUCUAGGGUUUUUCUCUCUCUACGCGAAAGUCGCCGAUUCGCGUCGAUUGCGCGUUCCGCUUGAUGUUUGCUGACUUGGAAACUUGAAGGAAGCUCUGGGUACGUGGGGAGGAGGUGUUUCACUAAGUUUUUGUGAGUUUUAUUCUCAGAAAAGCUGAAUCUCAACUGUAGAGAGUAAAGAAGGGUUAUUUAGUUAUGAAUUAACCACUCUAGCUCAGAGAAAGGUUGCUUUAAAGUUGGUUAAAGCUGAGAGAGAGAGAGGGGAAUUCCAGUAGCUAGAGAGGGGUUAUCUAGCUGUGAUUUCUGCACUUUAAUUCAAGGAAAAGCUGGUUUGAGGCUUGGCAAAGGUUUUCGAAUCUAUUUGAGUUGAAUUACUGACCUUGGAGGCUGGUUUAGAGGGUGUUUCAACCAGGACAUGGUUGCGAUGGACCUUCGGAUUAUCUUCGGCUGCUAUUGGAGAGCCUUUAGAGGAUAAACUUGAGGUACUAAAGUGAACCAAAUCAGGGAUUCGAGCUACAACCUUGUAUAAGGUGAGGAUUUUGCCUUAAGAAUGUAAUUCAGCUCUUAGCUGAUUUUUAAUUAUUGCAAGGGGACUUGGAGACUUCAGAUUCCUUGCGCUUGUUGUUCGACAUGAGGCGUCGUAUAUCGGGUGGGUCUGACUUUCCCGAAAUGGGUGAAUUUUCUCACAAUAAUAGUGAUUAUCUAACUGAACCAUUCAUUAUUUAAAUUAUUAAACGCAGAAAGAGAAAGUAACCAUGGUGACGAC